AAUCAACGCUGGCGGCGUGCCUAACACAUGCAAGUCGAACGCUGUAGCAAUACAGAGUGGCAGACGGGUGAGUAACGCGUGGGAACCUUCCCAGUGGUGCGGAAUAGCUCAGGGAACUUGAGGUAAUACCGCAUAAGCCCCUAGGGGAAAGGAUUUAUCGCCAUUGGAUGGGCCCGGCGUCGGAUUAGCUAGUUGGUGAGGUAAUGGCUCACCAAGGCAA
rnacentral:rRNA from 1 species